UCUCUCUGUAGCUGUGAUUACCUUAGACAUUGAGCUACACUACAGAGACAAUAGUGAAGAAAACACGAGGACCUACACAAUGCUUGAAGAUUCAUGCAAGACAGUUGGAAGAUAGAGAAGAAAUUACUCUAGAUAGUGAAGGAGAGGCAAUUGGUCCUACUGAUGAAGCUGUAAACAACUUGAGAAAAUUUUUGGGCACAGUGGCAAGGAAUUCAGAUUUUUGUCCAUUAAUUUACACAAAUUGAAAGGGGAUUAAAGAUAAAGAAGCCAUUUGGAAAUAU